GGGUUGUGAGGUUAAGCGACUAAGCGUACACGGUGGAUGCCCUGGCAGUCAGAGGCGAUGAAGGACGUGCUAAUCUGCGAUAAGCGUCGGUAAGGUGAUAUGAACCGUUAUAACCGGCGAUUUCCGAAUGGGGAAACCCAGUGUGAUUCGUCACACUAUCAUUAACUGAAUCCAUAGGUUAAUGAGGCGAACCGGGGGAACUGAAACAUCUAAGUACCCCGAGGAAAAGAAAUCAACCGAGAUUCCCCCAGUAGCGGCGAGCGAACGGGGAGCAGCCCAGAGCCUGAAUCAGUGUGUGUGUUAGUGGAAGCGUCUGGAAAGGCGCGCGAUACAGGGUGACAGCCCCGUACACAAAAAUGCACAUGCUGUGAGCUCGAUGAGUAGGGCGGGACACGUGGUAUCCUGUCUGAAUAUGGGGGGACCAUCCUCCAAGGCUAAAUACUCCUGACUGACCGAUAGUGAACCAGUACCGUGAGGGAAAGGCGAAAAGAACCCCGGCGAGGGGAGUGAAAAAGAACCUGAAACCGUGUACGUACAAGCAGUGGGAGCACGCUUAGGCGUGUGACUGCGUACCUUUUGUAUAAUGGGUCAGCGACUUAUAUUCUGUAGCAAGGUUAACCGAAUAGGGGAGCCGAAGGGAAACCGAGUCUUAACUGGGCGUUAAGUUGCAGGGUAUAGACCCGAAACCCGGUGAUCUAGCCAUGGGCAGGUUGAAGGUUGGGUAACACUAACUGGAGGACCGAACCGACUAAUGUUGAAAAAUUAGCGGAUGACUUGUGGCUGGGGGUGAAAGGCCAAUCAAACCGGGAGAUAGCUGGUUCUCCCCGAAAGCUAUUUAGGUAGCGCCUCGUGAAUUCAUCUCCGGGGGUAGAGCACUGUUUCGGCAAGGGGGUCAUCCCGACUUACCAACCCGAUGCAAACUGCGAAUACCGGAGAAUGUUAUCACGGGAGACACACGGCGGGUGCUAACGUCCGUCGUGAAGAGGGAAACAACCCAGACCGCCAGCUAAGGUCCCAAAGUCAUGGUUAAGUGGGAAACGAUGUGGGAAGGCCCAGACAGCCAGGAUGUUGGCUUAGAAGCAGCCAUCAUUUAAAGAAAGCGUAAUAGCUCACUGGUCGAGUCGGCCUGCGCGGAAGAUGUAACGGGGCUAAACCAUGCACCGAAGCUGCGGCAGCGACGCUGAUGCGUUGUUGGGUAGGGGAGCGUUCUGUAAGCCUGUGAAGGUGUACUGUGAGGUAUGCUGGAGGUAUCAGAAGUGCGAAUGCUGACAUAAGUAACGAUAAAGCGGGUGAAAAGCCCGCUCGCCGGAAGACCAAGGGUUCCUGUCCAACGUUAAUCGGGGCAGGGUGAGUCGACCCCUAAGGCGAGGCCGAAAGGCGUAGUCGAUGGGAAACAGGUUAAUAUUCCUGUACUUGGUGUUACUGCGAAGGGGGGACGGAGAAGGCUAUGUUGGCCGGGCGACGGUUGUCCCGGUUUAAGCGUGUAGGCUGGUUUUCCAGGCAAAUCCGGAAAAUCAAGGCUGAGGCGUGAUGACGAGGCACUACGGUGCUGAAGCAACAAAUGCCCUGCUUCCAGGAAAAGCCUCUAAGCAUCAGGUAACAUCAAAUCGUACCCCAAACCGACACAGGUGGUCAGGUAGAGAAUACCAAGGCGCUUGAGAGAACUCGGGUGAAGGAACUAGGCAAAAUGGUGCCGUAACUUCGGGAGAAGGCACGCUGAUAUGUAGGUGAAGUCCCUCGCGGAUGGAGCUGAAAUCAGUCGAAGAUACCAGCUGGCUGCAACUGUUUAUUAAAAACACAGCACUGUGCAAACACGAAAGUGGACGUAUACGGUGUGACGCCUGCCCGGUGCCGGAAGGUUAAUUGAUGGGGUCAGCGCAAGCGAAGCUCUUGAUCGAAGCCCCGGUAAACGGCGGCCGUAACUAUAACGGUCCUAAGGUAGCGAAAUUCCUUGUCGGGUAAGUUCCGACCUGCACGAAUGGCGUAAUGAUGGCCAGGCUGUCUCCACCCGAGACUCAGUGAAAUUGAACUCGCUGUGAAGAUGCAGUGUACCCGCGGCAAGACGGAAAGACCCCGUGAACCUUUACUAUAGCUUGACACUGAACAUUGAGCCUUGAUGUGUAGGAUAGGUGGGAGGCUUGGAAGUGUGGACGCCAGUCUGCAUGGAGCCGACCUUGAAAUACCACCCUUUAAUGUUUGAUGUUCUAACGUUGACCCGUAAUCCGGGUUGCGGACAGUGUCUGGUGGGUAGUUUGACUGGGGCGGUCUCCUCCUAAAGAGUAACGGAGGAGCACGAAGGUUGGCUAAUCCUGGUCGGACAUCAGGAGGUUAGUGCAAUGGCAUAAGCCAGCUUGACUGCGAGCGUGACGGCGCGAGCAGGUGCGAAAGCAGGUCAUAGUGAUCCGGUGGUUCUGAAUGGAAGGGCCAUCGCUCAACGGAUAAAAGGUACUCCGGGGAUAACAGGCUGAUACCGCCCAAGAGUUCAUAUCGACGGCGGUGUUUGGCACCUCGAUGUCGGCUCAUCACAUCCUGGGGCUGAAGUAGGUCCCAAGGGUAUGGCUGUUCGCCAUUUAAAGUGGUACGCGAGCUGGGUUUAGAACGUCGUGAGACAGUUCGGUCCCUAUCUGCCGUGGGCGCUGGAGAACUGAGGGGGGCUGCUCCUAGUACGAGAGGACCGGAGUGGACGCAUCACUGGUGUUCGGGUUGUCAUGCCAAUGGCACUGCCCGGUAGCUAAAUGCGGAAGAGAUAAGUGCUGAAAGCAUCUAAGCACGAAACUUGCCCCGAGAUGAGUUCUCCCUGACUCCUUGAGAGUCCUGAAGGAACGUUGAAGACGACGACGUUGAUAGGCCGGGUGUGUAAGCGCAGCGAUGCGUUGAGCUAACCGGUACUAAUGAACCGUGAGGCUUAACCUUACAACGCCGAAGCUGUU
rnacentral:rRNA from 2 species